AAUCAAUCAGAGCAUUAAGUGGAUCUCCAGAAGUUUCACAGCAAUUUAGAAAUGAAACCAAGAUUUAAUACCAGCCUGCUUAAAAAGGUGCCAUGUCGAUGAUGCACGCCGCGCAACAGAUGGGAAAAAUCCUCAUGCAACUUAACAACAUGCUCACGUUUUCCUGUAGUUCUGCCAAAACACAACUUUGUGAGAGCUCCCUCCGUUACCGCCAAGGCAGCCAGGUAAUGAAGGAGUCAGAAAGUGGACAGAAGCUGCCGGCAAGUUGUUCC